ensembl:lncRNA
CGAUAGCAUGCUUAUCGGAAAUGUAUUCAAAUAUUAUUUUAUUUACAACAAACAUACAUAACAGCCACCAUAACCUGCAAUGACAAAUACAUUAUUUGAAGGUUUCCCAGUAAUGUGAAGAAGGCAUGAAAGUUCAUUUCAAGACCGAAUACCAGAGAAGUUACAGGUCCAGAAGUGUCUCUCCCCAGCGCUCUGCACCGUUGGCUGGCCUUCGUUCUGAGGAAAUGGGUAUCAGUAGAGAACCAUGCCUCCAAAGACGAAAGAAGUUUUACUUCCACUGCCCACCUCGAUCAUGUGGCACACCACAUAAAACUUUAAAUGAGCCUGUCAUUGAUGCACACCUAUUCAAGACCCCAGCUGAAACAAGUGGCCAGUUUGUUAAGAAGUCCCAACAGCAUAGCAGCAAUUCACCAGCACUCUUAAAUCCACAGGAGGACCCCUCAACUUAUAAUCAUGCACUACGUAGAAAAGCUGGACUCGGGGUAUCAGCACAAAGAUCUGAUCGGCACAAAACAGAGUAUAACAGACAGUUUGCCCUAAAGACAGCAGCUCCUUCACCCACAUUAACUGCACAUGAGG